UACGGAAGGUCCGGGCGUUAUCCGGAUUUAUUGGGUUUAAAGGGAGCGUAGGCUGUUGGUUAAGCGUGUUGUGAAAUGUAGAUGCUCAACAUCUGAAUUGCAGCGCGAACUGUCCGACUUGAGUGCGCGGAAAGCAGGCGGAAUUCGUUGUGUAGCGGUGAAAUGCUUAGAUAUGACGAAGAACUCCGAUUGCGAAGGCAGCUUGCUGUAGCGUAACUGACGCUGAAGCUCGAAAGUGCGGGUAUCGAACAGG
rnacentral:rRNA from 1 species